rnacentral:miRNA from 1 species
CAGUCGAGUUAUUGUAUAAUUCAC